GUGAGCCGUGUGAAGGGAAACCUUCCCGCACGGUUUGGGGAGCACUGAAUUAGAAUGAGAGGUUCACCACCAUAUCAUUGCAUGCAAGGGGAGCUCACUCGAUUCGCAGAUUGGUCCGAUUUGUAAUUCACUUCUGACCCCGU
rnacentral:ncRNA from 1 species